rnacentral:rRNA from 1 species
AGUCGAACGGAGAAUUGCUAGCUUGCUAAUAAUUCUCCAGUGGCGCACGGGUGAGUAACACGUGAGUACCUGCCCCCAAGAGUGGGAUAGCCCCGGGAAACUGGGAUUAAUACCGCAUAAAGCAAUAAAGCAGCAAUGCGCUUGGGGAUGGGCUCGCGUCCUAUUAGUUAGUUGGUGAGGUAACGGCUCACCAAGGCGAUGACGGGUAGCCGGUCUGAGAGGAUGUCCGGCCACACUGGAACUGAGACACGGUCCAGACACCUACGGGUGGCAGCAGUCGAGAAUCAUUCACAAUGGGGGAAACCCUGAUGGUGCGACGCCGCGUGGGGGAUAAGGUCUUCGGAUUGUAAACCCCUGUCAUGUGGGACAUUAAAAGAUAGUACCACAAGAGGAAGAGACGGCUAACUCUGUGCCAGCAGCCGCGGUAAUACAGAGGUCUCAAGCGUUGUUCGGAAUCACUGGGCGUAAAGCGUGCGUAGGCGGUUUCGUAAGUCGUGUGUGAAAGGCGGGGGCUCAACCCCCGGACUGCACAUGAUACUGCGAGACUAGAGUAAUGGAGGGGGAACCGGAAUUCUCGGUGUAGCAGUGAAAUGCGUAGAUAUCGAGAGGAACACUCGUGGCGAAGGCGGGUUCCUGGACAUUAACUGACGCUGAGGCACGAAGGCCAGGGGAGCGAAAGGGAUUAGAUACCCCUGUAGUCCUGG